rnacentral:rRNA from 1 species
CGGCACGGGUGAGUAACGCGUAUGCGACCUGCCCGUUGCAGGGGGAUAAUCGGGAGAAAUCCCGUCUAAUACCGCGUAACGCCGCGGGGCUGCAUGGCCCUGCGGCCAAAGGGAGCGAUUCCGGCAACGGAUGGGCAUGCGUGACAUUAGCUAGUUGGCGGGGCAACGGCCCACCAAGGCGACGAUGUCUAGGGGUUCUGAGAGGAAGGUCCCCCACACUGGUACUGAGACACGGACCAGACUCCUACGGAAGGCAGCAG